rnacentral:tRNA from 1 species
CUGGCGAUCUAGACAAAACAAGUCCACCGUGGGCUUUGAAAAACGCUUUCCUUGAUAAAAUUUAAGCGUUUUAUAAGAGGAUGCCGGGGAAGGUUUUCCGGUUUAUCCCGGAGGGCUUGUAGCUCAGUUGGUUAGAGCGCGCGCUUGAUAAGCGUGAGGUCGGAGGUUCAAGUCCUCCCAGGCCCACCAGUUUAUCCAUUACUUUCAUAAGUGCUUUUAAAAAAUAAGUACUUCUAAAAAGAUUGCUUCUAAAAAGCUUAUCAAAAUUGGCAGGCUUAUUGCUUUUGUGUGAGUAAUCCAAAGUUAAAGCAAAUUAAUGGCAAAAAAACAGUUCAAAUGCUAAAUACUAAGGAGUCAAAAUUCCUUGCAAAGUGAUUUUUACAGCGUCCAUUUGGUUGAUAUAAAUUCCAAAUGCUCAUAGACGUCAAUGCCUAUAUGAAACUAUCGGUUCAAUCAUAUCGCUUUGAGUUAUAUAGAUUUUGUAAUCCCUCUUUUGAUCGUUUUAAACGCUUUAUUCUGAUUUAGGGGCCGUAGCUCAGCUGGGAGAGCACCUGCUUUGCAAGCA